rnacentral:tRNA from 1 species
GCGGUUGUAGUUCAAUUGGUAGAACGCUUCCUUGCCAAGGAAGAGGUUGCGAGUUCGAGCCUCGUCAUCCGCU